ACUGGCGUAUAGUUGGUAA
rnacentral:miRNA from 1 species